rnacentral:rRNA from 1 species
UAGGGAAUUUUCGUUCAAUGGGGGCAACCCUGAACGAGCAAUGCCGCGUGAGCGAAGAAGGUCUUCGGAUUGUAAAGCUCUGUUGCCGGGGAAAAGGAAGGAAAGAGGAAAUGCUUUUU